AACAAACGCUGGCGGCGUGCCUAACACAUGCAAGUCGUACGAGAAAGGGUCCUUCGGGGCCUGAGUAAAGUGGCGCACGGGUGAGUAACGCGUGGAUAAUCUGCCCUUCAGUUGGGAACAACUCAUCGAAAGGUGGGCUAAUACCGAAUAAUGCUGUGAGACCUCGGUUGAUCAGCCAAAGAGAGCCUCUGCUUGCAAGCCCUCGCUGAAGGAUGAGUCCGCGUACCAUUAGCUAGUUGGUAGGGUAAUGGCCUACCAAGGCGACGAUGGUUAGCGGGUCUGAGAGGAUGAUCAGCCACACUGGAACUGAGACACGGUCCAGACUCCUACGGGAGGCAGCAGUGAGGAAUCUUGCGCAAUGGGGGCAACCCUGACGCGGCAACGCCGCGUGAGUGAGGAAGGUCUUCGGAUCGUAAAGCUCUGUCGGAUGGAAAGAACCGCAUAGGGGUAAACAGCCCCUGUGUCUGACGGUACCAUCAAAGGAAGCACCGGCUAACUCCGUGCCAGCCGCCGCCGUAAAAC
rnacentral:rRNA from 1 species